rnacentral:rRNA from 1 species
UACGUAGGGUGCGAGCGUUGUCCGGAAUUAUUGGGCGUAAAGGGCUCGUAGGCGGUCUGUCACGUCGGGAGUGAAAACUCAGGGCUUAACCCUGAGCCUGCUUCCGAUACGGGCAGACUAGAGGUAUGCAGGGGAGAACGGAAUUCCUGGUGUAGCGGUGAAAUGCGCAGAUAUCAGGAGGAACACCAAUGGCGAAGGCGGCUCUCUGGGACGGUACUGACGCUGAGACGCGAAAGCGUGGGGAGCGAACAGG